rnacentral:rRNA from 1 species
UACGAGAGGUGCGAACGUUAUUCGGAAUUACUGGGCGUAAAGGGUGCGUAGACGGCAUGAUAAGUCAACUGUUAAAUUUUCCGGCCUAACCGGAAGUCAGCGGUAGAAACUGUUGUGCUAGAGGAUGGAAGAGAGAAGUGGAAUUCUCGGAGUAGCGGUAAAAUGCGUAGAUCUCGAGAGGAACACCAAUGGCGAAGGCAGCUUCUUGGUCCAUAUCUGACGUUGAGGCACGAAAGCGUGGGGAGCAAACAGG